rnacentral:rRNA from 1 species
AUACGUAGGGUGCGAGCGUUAAUCGGAAUUACUGGGCGUAAAGCGUGCGCAGGCGGUUAUGUAAGACAGAUGUGAAAUCCCCGGGCUCAACCUGGGAACUGCGUUUGUGACUGCAUAACUAGAGUACGGCAGAGGGAGGUGGAAUUCCGCGUGUAGCAGUGAAAUGCGUAGAGAUGCGGAGGAACACCGAUGGCGAAGGCAGCCUCCUGGGCCAGUACGGACGCUCAUGCACGAAAGCGUGGGGAGCAAACAGGAUUAGAUACCCUGGUAGUCCACGCCCUAAACGAUGUCAACUAGUUGUUCGGUGAGGAGACUCAUUGAGUAACGCAGCUAACGCGUGAAGUUGACCGCCUGGGGAGUACGGCCGCAAGGUUAAA